GCCUGAGUGGCUCAGUCAGUUGAGUGUCUGACUUCAGGUCAGGUCAUGAUCCCAGGGUACUGGGUUUGAGUCCCAUAUCAGGCU
rnacentral:tRNA from 1 species